rnacentral:lncRNA from 1 species
AUUAGUUUAAAUUAAUUAAAUGUAAAUCUUUUUUCACCUGCCUCGCAUUCGAGGGCAGCCUUCCAUCUAACAGAUAUUUUCAAUGCCAGGUCGGCAGGCAGACCAGGCAGCAAAUGCAAUUUUGAUGGCUCCAAACACGUAGAACACAAAAAACUCGGGGCCAGAAAAGUAAACAAAAACAACACAAGCAGAAAAACCAACAGCAAAUAUUUCAUGGAUAUUUGGCUCAAACUGGAAAGCAGCCAACACAACGACGAGUGCCUGACACUGCAAAUGAAAUGAAUGUCAAAGCUGAGUGCGCAGCCCAUAGACGAAUAAACAAAUACUUUAGGAAAUCUAUAGGUAAAUAAACCUAUCUACAUACAUAUAUGAAGCUCAUCAAAAUAGCCAUUUUUCAGUGGUUAAACUAAAUUUGUAAUACUUCUGGUAAUGAUCUAGAAAAAAAUCAUCUGAGGCUGAUCCCUAAAUAACGAUAGCCGCAUGAGCUAAGGUGCAGCACAACAGCACAACAGCAGCACAACAGCACAGCAAAAAAAUGACAAUUGGCACAUGAAGCUGUUUAAAAACAAAACAGAAAUGAAGCAAAUAAAAAGAAACAACAAAAUGGCACCCGCAAAAGUAUUUAAAUAAAGCGAAUUUAAAUCGCAACAAUGCGAUUGAACAUGAAACAAAAAAGAUAAUAAAAGAUAAUGCAGCUGUCGCACC